GAGAGUAUUUUUAAGUUAGCAUAUAUGGAUAAAUAUUAAAAGUAUCCGCAGCGAUAUGCAAUUUUGAAGUUAAAAUGGAAGGAAGGAACUCGGCAAAUCUUAGCUUCGCCUGUUUAUCAAAAACAUGGCUCUCUGUUACUUUAAUAUAGGGAGUCGGACCUGCCCAGUGAAAUUUUUUAACGGCCGCGGUACCCUGACCGUGCAAAGGUAGCAUAAUCAUUUGCCUUAUAAUUGAAGGCUUGUAUGAAUGGUUUGACGGGAGCAUUGCUGUCUCCCUCCCAGUAGAUAGAACUUGACCUUUAGGUGAAGAGGCCUAAAUAUAAUUGAAAGACAAGAAGACCCUGUCGAGCUUUAAAAUUAGAUUAGAGGGAAAUAUAAAAUAGCCUAAAUUUAUAGCUAAUUGGUUUUUUGGUUGGGGCGACCGAGGAACAGCAAGAGCUUCCUUUAUCUAAGCUGACUUAUAGGUAUUGAUCCAGCCUAAAGCUGAUUAAAAAAAUUAGUUACCGCAGGGAUAACAGCAUAAUCUCUCUUAAGAGACCAAAUCGAAAGAGGGGGUUGUGACCUCGAUGUUGGACUAGAAUAUCCUGAAGAUGCAAA
rnacentral:rRNA from 1 species